CUGGCCUCUUAGACAAAUGAUCUUUCUUUGAAUGCAGCUUGGAAGGAUAUGCCUUGAUAUUCUUAAAGACAAAUGGAGUCCCGCUCUUCAUAUUCGAACUGUACUCUUGAGCAUUCAAGCGCUUUUGAGUGCUCCAAAUCCAGAUGAUCCUCUAUCUGAGAACAUUGCAAAGCAUUGGAAAAGCAAUGAAGCUGAAGCCGUUGAAACAGCAAAGGAAUGGACCCGUUUAUAUGCGAGUGGUGCAUGAUGAAAGUGGUGACCAGGUUCUCCGCAAUUAACAUAAUAUGCAAUGUAUCCUAUUGACUGUUGACUUUAAAUGAAAAUUUUAAAGAAUUGAUGGUCAGAUGAUUCGAAUUGAGUAUUCUCCAGGCUUCCAACUACUGCUGAUGACCUUGGAUCCUUAUCUUGAAAUUGUAUAAUUAUAUAAGAUGCUUCUGUGUCUUU